AUGCAGUAUGUUAUCAGUGAAUUCCAAUAUGCCAGAUACAGGCAAAGUGCUUUCCUGAAGGAGCAGGCGGUCUUGGAAAAUAUCAGAGGGCCAGAUUCUUCCACUGUGAACGACCCCAGCACGCAGCUGACGCUAUCAGAAGCAGCCGCACCUCUGUCAGAUCCAGGCAGCGCCAGGUGGGUGGAAGCUGUGGCUGGUGGCCCUGCGGCCAGCGGCCGUGGCAGCAGUGCCCAGGGAUGAGCAGGUAACUGGACGAGGGCAGGAGGGGAGGCAGGGAACAAAGUUUGUCAUCCUGAGACACCAGACCUUUGACGAGACUCAGGUAACCUCUGACAGCACGUACAGUGCUGACAAAGAGUCCCUGUCAGCCUUUGUGGAAGACUUUGAGACUUCAGUCAGCAUUGACUUUCUAGAAGACGAAGAGCGUGUUGGCGAAGUGCUAGACUGUGGUUCUUCGGAUCUAUCGGAUCGUGGAGGAACAGAAGAAGCUCAGCAUGAAGAUGAAAAGAUGACAGAAGCAGCAGCAUCCCAGAAGUUGUGAUCACACAGGCAGAUGAGGUGGGUGAUAGACAAUACUUGAUAGAAAAUUCCUUUUUAUCUUAUCUGAUUUGUAUUCUUGGCUGGGAUGAUAAAUACAUCUUGUUGUUUCUAAUUAAUUCUUUAAUUUUCUUUUAUUUAUAUUUUGAAUUUAGCAAAAUUCUAUUUCAUGUUCGAAUCAUUCUCCAUCUAACCCAAAACGCAUUAGAAAGGCUAUUUGCUUUAAUCAGCGGGAUUUUUAAUCUUAUUAUAUGCUUCUCAAAAAUGAAUAUUUCUUUGUAUUGUAGAGUACAUAUUUACAUAAAUUAGUGUUAUCCUUGGUUAUUUUGCCAACCAUAAUUUAUACGCUUUUUAGUUUUAUCAUAAAAUAAAAUCUUGCCUCUGAUAUUCUGGGACCA
rnacentral:lncRNA from 1 species